CCUCAUGUACAAAAACAACCUGACCCAAUGCAAUAUCUCUAAUUUGGAAAUGAGAGAAAGAUAACCAUCAACAACCCUAGGUUAAAUCACAAAAUACUGUAUAAAUCAGGUGAAAUUAUGAUGGCACCAUGAUGGCAGUGCUGGUGAUGGCGAUGAUGUUGAAGAUAAAAAUUCCUUCCGUCUUAGACCUGCAUUUCAAAAAAGAUUAUUAUCACUCUGGAGAGAAUACAUCAGUGUAGAGGGAAAAAAAAAGAGAAUGACCUCAAAGAUGUCUUUGCUGCCUCUGUGCAACUUCAGAAAAUGUGAGGUAUUACUCCAGUGUGGAUAACUUGUUUUUUUAAGGAUCCAAUCAAUGAAGCACUAGCAUUCUCUGUGGUGAUGCUGAAAAGUGAAGCCACCAGACAUUUUUGAAUCAGUAUCAGUUACAAUCCACAAGAGAUAUGAUAAAUCAAGAUCUGUACAACCCGAUCAGGUAUUCAGAAGCCCCACCGAUUUCUCAAGACUAGAAACACACCUAGGAGAUUAAGAAUAACUUCGAAGGACCAUUUUUUUUUAUUUAUAUGA